rnacentral:rRNA from 1 species
AUUGAACGCUGGCGGCAGGCCUAACACAUGCAAGUCGAGCGAGCGGCGGACGGGUGAGUAAUGUAUGGGGACUGCCCGUUAGAGGGGGAUAACUACUGGAAACGGUAGCUAAUACCGCAUACUAUCGGAUAACCCAUAUGGGAUUAGCUAGUAGGUGGGGGAAUGGCUCACCUAGGCGACGAUCCCUCGCUGGUCUGAGAGGAUGAUCAGCCACACGGGAACUGAGACACGGCCCAGACUCCUACGGAGGCAGCAGUGGGGAAUAGUGCACAAUGGGCGCAAGCCUGAUGCAGCCAUGCCGCGUGUAUGAAGAAGGCCCUAGGGUUGUAAAGUACUUUCCGUCGGGAGGCGUUACCGACAGAAGAAGCACCGGCUAACUCCGUGCCAGCAGCCGCGGUAAUUC